rnacentral:rRNA from 1 species
GGUGAACGCUGGCGGCGUGCCUAACACAUGCAAGUCGAACGGAAGGACAGUAAGAUCUUGCUCUUACCGGUGGCGGGUGGCGGGCGGGUGAGGAAUACAUCGGAACCUACUCUUUCGGGGGGGACUACGUAACGAAGCCUAUGAUAAUAUAGCAUACUACCUACGGGUGAAUUCAGGGGAGCUUUGCGGUUUGCGCGUUGCAUGGAGCCGAUGUCGUAUUGGCUGGUUGGCUGGGUAACGGCCCACCAAGGCGACGCUCCGUAGCCGAACUGAGAGGAUGAUCGGCCACACUGGAACGGGGACACGGUCCAUAGUCCUACGGGAGGGAGCAGUAGGGAAUGUUCGGCAAUGGGCGGGAGCCUGACCCAGCGACACCGCGUGUGUGAUGAAGGCCUUCGGAUUGUAAAGCCCUUUUUUUGGGGAAGAACAGCUGUCGCUUGAUACGCAGCUAUAGUGACGGUACCUAAAGAAUAAGCACCGGCUAACUACGUG